AUCACCAUCUCUUCCCUAGGCUGAAACCGAUUUUGGUUGUGCAUCCGGAUGAUAUUAGUUAGAAGCAAAAAUUCAUACGCAUCCUUAUCUCCACCUUGGACCUACACCUUACCUACACCUUGGACGGCCUGUCUCUUGUUUUAUGGGAAAUGACAGCCUUGUGAUUGAUUGCCUUGUUUAAUUCGAUUCAUUAUAUGUAUCUGUCACAACCUUUUUAAAGAAUAUAUAUAUAUAUACUGAUUCCCACCAUGAAAGAUUUUGUCACCAUAACUAAAGAGAAGAUAUUUAGUUUCCAUAUGGUUUAAAAGUCCUUGUUUGAUUGGCCAAAAAAAGCAGCCUUAUAAUUGUCUUCCAAUUCCAUUCGGCAUCGAUAUAUAGCAACCUUUUUAAAGAAAAUAUAUUUAGUAACUCCCACCCAAAAUAAUUUCCAUAAUGGCUUUUAAAAGCCUCGGUGUUACCUCCCGUUUGAUAGUGUAAAGGUAGCCUUGUGAUUAUCUUCUUCAAUUCCCUUGGGUACGUUCGCCAUGAAGACCAUGCGUUUGGCUUUGGUUUUCUUCGUCCUUGCAGGACUCUUUGCUCAGAAUCAAUGUCAAGGCCCAGAGCCGUGCUAUAUUGACGUUUGCAUUUCUGGGCGUCCCUGCUACUGCUGCCCAGCCCAUGGACGCGGGUCACGUUGUUAUAAUACGCGAGCGGAAUGCGUGGCCGACUGCAACCCCCCUGCAGGAAACCUUUACCAGACUCCAUGAGUUCAAGAUUCGAAAUAUGCACUUGUCCUCAUGAAUAAUGAUCCAUGUGUGCUGUAAUUGCUUCACAUGCCUUUUUAGAAAGUAAUAAUAAUCCAGUUAUGUCAUAUAUUAUCAGAAAUGGCUGUCUAUCUGUACGUGAUAUAAUCCAUAACAUCACCCAACAAAACUAGCCAGAAAAUAUUA